GAGAAGCAGAUCAAGUUCAUGACCUACAACGUUUGGUCCCGCGAUGACAUUGCAGUCUACAGAAGAAUGGAGGACAUCGGCGGCUGCGUGAAGAAACACCAGCCAGAUGUGAUUUUCUUCCAGGAAUUCACUCCAUACAUCUUAAGGAUUUUUCAGAGUUUCUCAUGGUGGAAAGAGUACCACUGUUCACCGAUCUCCCUGGAAGAACGGAAAGGCAAAAGCUUCUGCAUAAUGCUGAGCAAGGUUCCUAUGGAGAAUCACGCGCGCUGGAAGUUCACCACCACGGCCACAUGCAAAAGCUACCUAGAGGCCGACAUUAGCCCGGGCCUGGGGCUGGGGUCGGCGACGACGAUGAAGCCAAUCCGCAUCGCCACGACCCAGCUCGAGCCUCCCUGCCCACCGGAGUCAGUGCGCUGCAUGGAGCGCUACACGCAAGCCGAGCACUCUGUCGCGGCACUGAGCAGCGCGGAGAACGUCGUGUUCGGCGGCGACAUGAGCUGGGACGACAAGAUGGACCUGCCGUUCCCUCUCGCCGCAGGCUGGGUGGACGCCUCGAGAGAACUGAGGAGUCCGAGCCAAUACAGUUGGACUUACGACAGUUUCUGGGCAGAAAAGAUCGGGGAGUUCAAUGGGUAUACAGCUCCUGCCUCAGAGAUGAAGAAGCGGUCAGACCGGUUUGUGUGCAAGCUACAAGAUUACACACCGAAAGCAAUCGAGCUGAUCGAGGAUAAGGGUCUUGGGAUUUCUUAUACGAAGAAGUACAAGACGUACAACCUCGAAAAGGUGGAGCUAAUGCGGAGUUGUCACCGCGGGUUGGUUCUGACCAUCGUCCCGAACGAGCCAGAUAUUAGUACCCUUUUUGAUUGA
rnacentral:rRNA from 1 species